rnacentral:rRNA from 1 species
GUAAGGAAUAUUGGGCAAUGGGCGCAAGCCUGACCCAGCCAUGCCGCGUGAAGGAUGACGGCCCUAUGGGUUGUAAACUUCUUUUGUACGGGAAAAAACCACCGGUCGUGACCGGUGCUGAUGGUACCGUAAGAAUAAGCAUCGGCUAACUCCGUGCCAGCAGCCGCGGUAAUACGGAGGAUGCAAGCGUUAUCCGGAUUCAUUGGGUUUAAAGGGUGCGCAGGCGGAAUAAUAAGUCAGUGGUGAAAUCCUACGGCUCAACUGUAGAACUGCCAUUGAUACUGUUAUUCUUGAGUACACUUGAAGUGGGCGGAAUGUGUCAUGUAGCGGUGAAAUGCUUAGAUAUGACACAGAACACCGAUCGCGAAGGCAGCUCACUAAAUUGUAACUGACGCUCAUGCACGAAAGCGUGGGGAUCAAACAGGAUUAGAUACCCCUGUAGUCC